rnacentral:rRNA from 1 species
AUUGAACGCUGGCGGCAUGCUUUACACAUGCAAGUCGAACGGUAACAGGCCUUCGGGUGCUGACGAGUGGCGAACGGGUGAGUAAUGCAUCGGAACGUACCCAGAGGUGGGGGAUAACGCAGCGAAAGCUGUGCUAAUACCGCAUGUGAUCUGAGGAUGAAAGCGGGGGACCGAGCAGCAAUGUUUGGCCUCGCGCCUUUGGAGCGGCCGAUGUGGGGUUAGCUAGUGGGUGGGGUAAAGGCCUACCAAGGCGACGAUCCGUAGCUGGUCUGAGAGAACGACCAGCCACAUGGGAACUGAGACACGGCCCAGACUCCUACGGGAGGCAGCAGUGGGGAAUUGUGGACAAUGGGCGCAAGCCUGAUCCAGCAAUGCCGCGUGCGGGAAGAAGGCCUUCGGGUUGUAAACCGCUUUUGGCAGGAACGAAACGGUGUCCGCUAAUACCGGGCGCUAAUGACGGUACCUGCAGAAUAAGCACCGGCUAACUACGUG